GGCUGGUAAGUAGCAUGGCAGACGGGUGAGGAACACGUACUUAACCUGACGCGUGAUGGGGGAUAGUCUCUCGAAAGAGGGUUGAAUACCGCAUAGGCUCUUGAGGUGUAAGGCUUCAGGAGGAAAGUUGGCCUCUGCGUGCAAGCUGAUGUCAUGCGAGGGGGGUGCGUCCUAUUAGCUAGCUGGGAGGGUAAUGGCCUACCAGGGCGACGAUGGGUAGCUGGUCUGAGAGGAUGAUCAGUCACACUGGGACUGGGACACGGCCCAGACUCCUACGGGAGGCAGCAGUGGGGAAUUUUGCGCAAUGGGCGCAAGCCUGACGCAGCAACGCCGCGUGAGUGAAGACGCCUUUCGGGGUGUAAGGCUCUGUCAGUGGGGACGAAGGUGUGGUGAUGAACAGUUGCCAGGCGUGACGGUACCCACGAAGGAAGCCCCGGCUAACUCCGUGCCAGCAGCCGCGGUAAGACGGAGGGGGCGAGCGUUGUUCGGAAUUACUGGGCGUAAAGCGCACGCAGGCGGCGUGCCAAGUGCGAAGUGAAAGCCCUCGGCUUAACCGGGGAAGGGCUUCGCAGACUGGUAGGCUAAAGUGUCGGAGGGGGAGGCGGAAUCCCUGGUGGAGCGGUGAAAUGCGUAGAGAUCAGGAAGAACGUCGGUGGCGAAGGCGGCCUCCUGGACGAACACUGACGCUG
rnacentral:rRNA from 1 species